UAUUUUCCGUGUUAGGAGGUAAGGUUCCCAACCUUGCCUCCCGAAUACAACCUAAAAGUACAUGCCAAGUCAUCUGAAGAUAACUCCAUAUAUAGAUGUAAUAUACAAUAAGUAGUUCCUAACCCAACAAACAGGAUAUGCGAUUUAUUAUUAAUAUAUUUCUCAGCUAAUUUUCUCUCGGCCUCUUCUAUCCCUUCUUCCUUUACAACAUUGUCCAUCAAAAACUCACCACCCAAAGUACCCCAGCUUGCUUGCCAAUCACCACCAGCAAUGUAAGUACUUCUCAAACCGGCCAUCGAACUUGAGCAAACUGGCCGUCGAACUUAGCAACGUUUGGGCGGAUGGAGGCUCUCUUCUGAUCACUGUUCAACGAAACAAGAGUAUAGUUGGGGCUAAGUUCCCGAUACCUCUUAAUCCUAUAAAUUGUACCAUCACCAUGCAAUUGCAGUUGAUAGCUAGAUGACUAUGCAAAUGCUUUUGCAAGAGUUUGGCCUGAACAUCUUGGAUAUAUAUAUAGGAGCUGGGUGCGUUGUCAUCACAACAAGAAAAAUGGGUUACGAACCCACAUGUUCGAGCACGACCUAUCUUCAUACGCCCAUUCUAACUGACUCUGGAGCAGCGCAUGGCAGCUAACUUGUGGCCCGUACACUGCUCCUGAGAAUUGUGAGGUCUUGACAUGAAAUUUGUUGAAGCAAAGACCGAGUUUACCCAUUAUCUUUAAAAAGUUAAAAUAUAAAUGGUACGUUGUGAUGCUUAUGUAUAUAAAGACAUGCAGUUUAAUUUAUGUGUAGGCAAGCAAUUGUGUUCAUUGGAUAAAAAUGUGAGUUACACAAUGAUCAGCACCCUGCAUUCCUGGAAACACUGCAUAGUGUUGCAAUACCACUAGUGUAAUUUGCCAAAUUGGCAUGAUCAAUGUCAGGUCACAAUUUGGAAGCUUAAGAUGCCGCUUAAGAUUAAGAUCUUCAUGUGGUACUUACUUAAAGGGGUUAUGUUAACAAAGACAAUUUAGCAAGACGGAAUUAGAAUGGUAGUUUAAGAUGUUGUUUUUGUAUGAAAAAUGAGAAUAUUCAACAUCUUUUCAUAGAUUGCCAUUAUGCAAAGUUUAUAUGGAGAGGAAUACAAUAUUCUUUUGGUCUA